CGACGCACAAUCAGCUCAUUUCCCUCUCUGAUCGUCACCUCAUGCACGUCACGGCUGCUUUGCACGGAAUUCCGAAAGAAAUCUGUAAGUUUGUUUAACCUAAUUGCUCUAGUCACUUUACAUGCCGUCUUUUAACUGAAACAAAUGCAUUUUUUGAAUACAAGAAAGGAUCAAAUCAGAACGGGUCUGCAUCUCCGGCCAGUAGCGACAUGGCGAAAGCUCCAGGUGAAUGUUGAUGGAUUAAAUUCCCAUACUAUCUGGAUGUGUACAGGGCUUUAAAAGGACCUGUUUGGUAAAGGUAUGAACUUCCCUUGUAAUAGAUGAUUUUAACUCUGUUUGCCUGAUUGUUUAAUAACUAUUUUUUUCCUUUAGGACCGUGAGUAAGUCCCACCAACCUUUUAACCCUUUUUUUUUUUUUUUUUUACAUAUACGUUUGACCCUGGGACUGUAUUGUUUAUUGUAAUCAUUACUUUUACCUAUCACUGCAAACGUGUUAAGUUGCUGUGGUUUUGUUGGUUUGCUGUGGCCUGGUUUUAAAGUGAUAGUGAUGAACUGUUUAUAUUUUCAUGUGCCAUUAUAA
rnacentral:lncRNA from 1 species